rnacentral:rRNA from 1 species
AGAGUUUGAUCAUGGCUCAGAACGAACGUUGGCGGCGUGGAUUAGGCAUGCAAGUCGUACGAGCUUCAUCUGGGCAACUGGGUGAAGAAAGUGGCGAAAGGGGCAGUAAGGCAUGGAUAAUCUACCCUGAUGACCGGGAUAGCUGUCCCAACGGGCAGGUAAUACCGGAUGAGCUGGUGGGGCCGCAUGGUUCUGCCAGGAAAGGCGCAAGCCGUGUCGGGAGGAAUCCAUGUGAUAUUAGCUAGUUGGUGAGGUAACGGCUCACCAAGGCGAAGAUGUCUAGCGGGUGUGAGAGCACGACCCGCGCCAUUGGCACUGAGACACUGGCCAGACUCCUACGGGAGGCUGCAGUCGAGGAUCUUCGGCAAUGGGCGCAAGCCUGACCGAGCGACGCCGCGUGAGCGAUGAAGGCCAUUAGGUUGUAAAGCUCUGUCGAGGGGGAACAAGCCGCAAGGUUGAGUGAUCCCUGGAGGAAGCACGGGCUAAGUUCGUGCCAGCAGCCGCGGUAAGACGAACCGUGCGAACGUUGUUCGGAAUCAUUGGGCUUAAAGGGCGCGUAGGCGGGUUGACAAGUCCGGGGUGAAAGCCUCCAGCUCAACUGGAGAAGAGCCCCGGAUACUGUCAGUCUGGAGAGGGAUAGGGGCACAUGGAACUUCCGGUGGAGCGGUGAAAUGCGUAGAGAUCGGAAGGAACGCCGGUGGCGAAAGCGAUGUGCUGGAUCUUUUC